GACAGCAGUCGCCGCGGAAUACGUAGGUGGCAAGCGUUGUCCGGAAUUAUUGGGCGUAAAGGGCUCGCAGGCGGUUUCUUAAGUCUGACGUGAAAGCCCCCGGCUCAACCGGGGAGGGUCAUUGGAAACUGGGAAACUUGAGUGCAGAAGAGGAGAGUGGAAUUCCACGUGUAGCGGUGAAGUGCGUAGAGAUGUGGAGGGACACCAGUGGCGAAGGCGACUCUCUGGUCUGUAACUGACGCUGAGGAGCGAAAGCGUGGGGAGCGAACAGGAUUAGAUACCCCCGUAGUCCCUGUCUCUUAUACA
rnacentral:rRNA from 1 species